rnacentral:lncRNA from 10 species
AAAUGUCUUUGAAAAAUUUUAAAUUAAUAUCAUAUCUCAAGCUCAGAAUUUAUUUAAAUUGAUACAAACAACACUAUUUAGUUUCACGAUGGAGGUAGUAGAAAGAUAGGAUUUUGUAUCUAAACAUACUGGUUUCUUAUCCUGAUUCUCCCAUUUACCCACUAGCUAUGCCAGCUAAGGAAACCUGAGCCUUCAUUUCUUUAACUGUGAAGAAGACAACUUUGGCCUCAGCAGGGUUGAGGAUUAAAUGAUACAAUGUAUGUAAAUAUAUUCUUUAACCAAGGGGUCAGCAAACUUUCUGUAAAAGGUCAAAUGGUAAAUAUUUUUGGUUUUGUAGAUCACAUGGUCUCUGUCUCAACCACUCAGUUUUGCCAUUGUGGUAUGAAAGCCUGAGUAGAGAAUAGCUGGGCUCCAGUGAAACUUAACUUACAACAAAAGGCAGCAAGCUGGAUUUGACCUGAGGGCUGUAGUUUGCCCACACUUUACUCUAACCUAUAAAGCUCUGUGUAAAUAUUGAGUAAUUGUCAUGACUUUCUCUCUUCAGGCUAAUGUAAUGCUUGAAUAUGAUAUUGAUGAAGCUCAGGCAUUGUUGGAAAAGAAUUUAUCGACUGCCACAAAGAAUCUUGAUUCCCUGGAGGAAGACCUUGACUUUCUUCGAGAUCAAUUUACUACCACAGAAGUCAAUAUGGCCAGGGUUUAUAAUUGGGAUGUAAAAAGAAGAAACAAGGAUGACUCUACCAAGAACAAAGCAUAAUGCUGGCAAUUAAAAAUGUGGUUUAGUUUUCCAAACAUGUUAUCUUAAAUACCCCUUUAUCCUUACAGGUUGACAUAACUUUGAAUGUUUUAACAGCAAGAAUUUUAAGAAAAGAUAAACACCAUUUUAUUUAUUUAUAAAAACAAAAUUAGUUUCAAAUAUUUUUGACAUUGUGAUUUUUUUUUCCACAUUUCUCAGCAAAGCUAAUGGUAUUUUAAUCAUUAUUUUUGCCUGUCAUAAGAAAACUCUUAGCUGAAAUGGCCGAAAACUGUGAGACAUGCUAUGGAAGCUGAAUGCCGGACGCUAGCACAGUUUACUUUUUCCCUUUCUAAUUGGCUGAUGUUACUCUCACUUGAUGUGGUUAAACCAUUUUAGAGGUAGAGAAGACAGACAGUUUGAAUAUUUGUAAACUUGUUUUUCUUUGGUAUAUUUAGGACUUAGUGGUCCUCUGUUGCUAUUGUCUUCUAUAAGUGGAGUUUCAUGACUUACUGCUUAACGAAUAACUAACUACUAUGAUAUUCUGGACAUUUUAGGAAAUGGUAAUUUGCCUUGCUACACAUUAAGAGGGCUAUUAAGACUACAUUUUUUCUAACCUCAGAUAAGUGCAGUGUCUUUGCAAUGCCAACAUAAGGGAGAUCUUGGCCAACGUGAAAUAAAAUUACUCAUUCAAAACUCUGCCUAAGGUGAUUUUGUAGUUCUUAACAGUUCUCCAGAGCAUCUUGAACAGGAAUAUUAAGAUAAAUGUGAAUCUGCAAUGGCUGAAAAGAGUUGUGAGCUUUUUUAUUCAUGAUAAAACCUUAUA